rnacentral:rRNA from 1 species
AAUCUAGCAUAUCAAUAAGCGGAGGAAAAGAAACCAACAGGGAUUGCCCUAGUAACGGCGAGUGAAGCGGCAACAGCUCAAAUUUGAAAUCUGGCUUUCGGGCCCGAGUUGUAAUUUGUAGAGGAUACUUUUGAUGCGGUGCCUUCCGAGUUCCCUGGAACGGGACGCCAUAGAGGGUGAGAGCCCCGUCUGGUUGGAUGCCAAAUCUCUGUAAAGUUCCUUCGACGAGUCGAGUAGUUUGGGAAUGCUGCUCUAAAUGGGAGGUAUAUGUCUUCUAAAGCUAAAUAUUGGCCAGAGACCGAUAGCGCACAAGUAGAGUGAUCGAAAGAUGAAAAGCACUUUGAAAAGAGAGUUAAAAAGUACGUGAAAUUGUUGAAAGGGAAGCGUUUAUGACCAGACUUGGACUUGGUUAAUCAUCUGGGGUUCUCCCCAGUGCACUUUUCCAGUUCAGGCCAGCAUCAGUUUUCGCCGGGGGAUAAAGGCUUCGGGAAUGUAGCUCUCUUCGGGGAGUGUUAUAGCCCGUUGUGUAAUACCCUGGCGGAGACUGAGGUUCGCGCUUCUGCAAGGAUGCUGGCGUAAUGGUCAUCAACGACCCGUCUUGAAACACGGACCAAGGAGUCGUCUUCGUAUGCGAGUGUUCGGGUGUCAAACCCCUACGCGUAAUGAAAGUGAACGCAGGUGAGAGCUUCGGCGCAUCAUCGACCGAUCCUGAUGUUCUCGGAUGGAUUUGAGUAAGAGCAUACGGGGCCGGACCCGAAAGAAGGUGAACUAUGCCUGUAUAGGGUGAAGCCAGAGGAAACUCUGGUGGAGGCUCGCAGCGGUUCUGACGUGCAAAUCGAUCGUCAAAUAUGGGCAUGGGGGCGAAAGACUAAUCGAACCUUCUAGUAGCUGGUUUCCGCGAUUUUCUCCCCCUCAAGAA